GAAAUUCUAGUAGUGGUGUUCAGAAAAAAAUGAAAUUCGAGCAAUGAGAUGGAAACCCAAAAAAAAAAAACAAUUAGCCGAAUCUAAGUGUAUUUAUAACAUGCCACUGAAAUUGCUUUAGUCAGACACAACUCCAUUCUUGAUUGAGAUGAAGUCCAUAACAAUAUAAAACCUUUAACAAAAAAUAUAUUCAUAACAAUAUAUAGCUUAAUAGAAAUAAUAAACCUGAUAAUUUAUCCAAAAUAAAAUAAAAUAAUAAAAAACCUGAUAAUAAUCGGUGCAUUGCGAAAUUAAAGAUAACAGAUCGGCACAUGCAUGCACGUUGCCA
rnacentral:lncRNA from 1 species